AUUGAACGCUGGCGGCAUGCCUUACACAUGCAAGUCGAACGGCAGCACGGGGGCCACCCUGGUGGCGAGUGGCGAACGGGUGAGUAACAUAUCGGAACAUACCCUAGAGUGGGGGAUAACGUAGCGAAAGUUACGCUAAUACCGCAUACGAUCUAAGGAUGAAAGUGGGGGAUCUUCGGACCUCAUGCUCAUGGAGUGGCCGAUAUCUGAUUAGCUAGUUGGUGAGGUAAAGGCUCACCAAGGCGACGAUCAGUAGCUGGUUUUGAGAGAAUGACCAGCCACACUGGAACUGAGACACGGUCCAGACUCCUACGGGAGGCAGCAGUGGGGGAAUUUUGGACAAUGGGGGCAACCCUGAUCCAGCAAUGCCGCGUGAGUGAAGAAGGCCUUCGGGUUGUAAAGUCUCUUUUGUUCAGGGAGAAACGGUAGAGUUCUAAUACAGCUUGCUAAUGACGGUACCUGAAGAUAAGCACCGGCUAACUACGUAGCCAGCAGCCGCGG
rnacentral:rRNA from 1 species